AUUGAACGCUGGCGGCAGGCCUAACACAUGCAAGUCGAACGAGUGGCGGACGGGUGAGUAAUGUCUGGGAAACUGCCUGAUGGAGGGGGAUAACUACUGGAAACGGUAGCUAAUACCGCAUACCAUCGGAUGUGCCCAGAUGGGAUUAGCUAGUAGGUGGGGUAAAGGCUAACCUAGGCGACGAUCCCUAGCUGGUCUGCGGGGAUGACCAGCCACACUGGAACUGAGACACGGUCCAGACCCCUACGGGGGGCAGCAGGGGGGAAUAUUGCACAAUGGGCGCAAGCCUGAUGCAGCCAUGCCGCGUGUGUGAAGAAGGCCUUCGGGUUGUAAAGCACUUUCAGCGGGGAGGCGUUACCCGCAGAAGAAGCACCGGCUAACUCCGUGCCAGCAGCCGCGGUAUUC
rnacentral:rRNA from 1 species